UGGUGGAGCGAUUUGUCUGGUUAAUUCCGAUAACGAACGAGACUCUAGCCUACUAAAUAAGUCGAAGUAUUUUGCCCGUACUUCGUACUUCUUAGAGGGACAAGCGGCGUCUAGCCGCACGAGAUUGAGCAAUAACA
rnacentral:rRNA from 1 species